AUGAUCCUGGGGGCUGUGGUGGUCCUGGAGUCCGGGUGGGGGUCCUUGGGGUCUCUGAUCCGCGGGGGGGGGAUCCCAGGGUCUGGUCAGGGGUCCCUGGGGUCUAUGAUGCACGGGGAGGAGUUCCGAGGUCCCCAUUCAGGGUGGGGGUGCUCGUCCCCAGGGGUCGGACAGGGGUCCCGGAGGGGAUGGGGGUGCGCGUGCGGGGCGGGAAUCGGGGGCGCGUGCAGGCGAGGCUGGGGCGCGUGCAGGAGGGGCGGGGGCGCGCUCGGGGGGGGGUGGGAGUCGGGGGCGCGUGCUCGCUCGAGACGGGGGCGCGCGCAAGAGGGGCGGGGGCGCGCGGGGAGUCGGAGGCGCGCGUGGAGAGUCGGGGACGCGCGCGAGGUGGGAAUCAGGGGCGUGCGCAGUGGAGCGGGGGCGCGCUCGGGGCGGGAGUUGGGGCGCGCUCUGGGGAGUCGGGGACGCGCUCUGGAGAGUCGGGGACGCGUGGGGGCGGGGGCGUGCUCGGGGCGGGAGUCGGGGUUGUGCGCGGGGCGGGGGCGCGCGCGGGGCGGGAGUCGGGGGCUCCGGCAGGCGAGGCUGGGGCGCGGGCGCACUCGGCAGGGGGGGGGGGAGUCGGGGGCGCGCGCGCGAGACGGGGGCGCGCGCAGGAGGGGCUGGGGAACACAGGAGAGUCGGGGGCGCGCGCGCGGGGCUGGAGUCGGGGCGCGCGCGGGACUCAGGGCGCGAGCAGGGGCGGGGGCGCGCUGGGGAGUCGGGGGCGCGCUCAGGGCGGGGAGCGUGGGCACGCGCGGGGGGGCGGGCCGUGGGCGCGCUCAGGGCGUGGGCGCGCUCGGGAGGGUCGGGGACGCUCGGGGAGCGGGGGCGCGAGCGCGGGGCAGGAGUCGGGGGCGCGCUGGGGCGUGGGCGCGCUCUGGGAGUCGGGGGCGCGCGCAGGGCGGGGGCGCGCUCUGGAGAGUCGGGGACGCGUGGGGGCGUGGGCGCGCUCGGGGCGGGAGUUGGGGGCGCGCGCAGGGCGGGGAUGCGCUCGGGGCGGGAGUCGGGGGCGCGCUCGGGGCGGGAGUCGGGGGCGCGCGCAGGGCGGGGGCGCGCGCGGGCGGGGCGCGCGCCGGGCGGGAGUCGGGGGCGCGCGUGGAGAGUCCGGGACGCGCGCGAGGUGGGAAUCAGGGGCGUGCGCAGUGGAGCGGGGGCGCGCUCGGGGCGGGAGUUGGGGGCGCGCUCUGGGGAGUCGGGGACGCGUGGGGGCGGGGGCUUGCUCGGGGCGGGAGUCGGGGUUGCGCGCGGGGCGGGGGCGCGCGGGGGCGGGAGUCGGGGGCGCGGGCAGGCGAGGCUGGGGCGCGGGCGCACUCGGCAGGGGGGUGGGAGUCGGGGGCGCGCGCGCGAGACGGGGGCGCGUGCAGGAGGGGCUGGGGAGCACGGGAGAGCCGGGGGCGCGCGCGCGGGGCUGGAGUCGGGGCGCGCGCGGGACUCAGGGCGCGAGCAGGGGCGGGGGCGCGCUGGGGAGUCGGGGGCGCGCUCAGGGCGGGGAGCGUGGGCGCGCGCGGGGGGGCGGGCCGUGGGCGUGCGCAGGGCGGGGGCGCGCUCUGGAGAGUCGGGACGCGUGGGGCGUGGGCGCGCUCGGGGCGGGAGUCGGGGGCGCGCGCAGGGCGGGGAUGCGCUCGGGGCGGGGAGUCGGGGGCGCGCUCGGGGCGGGAGUCCGGGGCGCGCGGGGGGGGGCGUGGGCGCGCUCGGGGCGGGAGUCGGGGGCGCGCGCGGGGCGGGGGCGCGCGCGGGCGUGGGCGCGCUCGGGCGGGAGUCGGGCGCGCGCGCAGGGCGGGGGCGCGCUCGGGAGGGUCGGGGACGCGCGGGGAGCGGGGGCGCGGGAGUCGGGGGCGCGCGGGGGCGUGGGCACGCUCGGGGCGGGAGUCGGGGGUGCGCGCAGGGCGGGGGCGCGCGCGGGGCGGGAGUCGGGGGCGCGCGCGGGGCGGGAGUCGGGGGCGCGCGGGGGCGUGGGCACGCUCGGGGCGGGAGUCGGGGGUGCGCGCAGGGCGGGGGCGCGCUCGGGGCGGGAGUCGGGGGUGCGCGCAGGGCGGGGCCGCGCGAAGGGCGGGAGUCGGGGGCGCGCGGGGGCGCGGGCGCGCGCGGGGCGGGAGGCGGGGGCGCGCGCGGGGCGGGAGUCGGGGGCGCGCGCGCGCGGGGCGGGGCGUGGGCGCGGCGCGGGGCGGGCCGGCGCGGGCGCGUUUCCGCCGUCGGGCCCGGGGCUCCGAGUCCGGCCGGCGGCGCGGAAGCGGCGGCGGCGGCGGCGGCGGCGGCGGCGGCGGCGGGGCAGCCAUGUCGCCUUUGUCCGCGGCGCGGGCGGCCCUGCGGGUGUACGCGGUGGGCGCGGCGCUGGUCGUGGCGCAGCUGCUGCGUCGCUGCGUGCGGGGCUUCGUGGAGCCAGUCUUCUCUCCACAACCGGAACGUGUUGCCAUAGUGACCGGAGGGACCGAUGGCAUUGGAUACUCGACCGCAAAGCAGCUGGCGAAGCUGGGCAUGCACGUCAUCAUAGCCGGAAAUAAUGACAGCAAAGCCCAGGACGUCGUGAGGAGGAUAAAAGAGGACACGCUCAACGACCAAGUGGAGUUUCUGUAUUGCGACCUGGCGUCCAUGAGGUCUAUCCGGGAGUUCGUCCAGACAUUCAAAAUGAAGAAGCUGCCCCUCCACGUCCUGGUGAAUAACGCCGGCGUGAUGAUGGUGCCCCUCCUGGACACCCUGCAGGAGUCGGGCGCCCCUGGCCGCAGCGCCCGGGUGGUGACCGUGUCCUCGGCCACGCACUACGUGGGGGAGCUGAACCUGGACGACCUCCAGAGCAGUACCAGCUACUCGGCGCACGCAGCCUAUGCGCAGAGCAAGCUGGCCCUGGUGCUGUUCACAUACCACCUGCAGGCGCUGCUGAGUGCCCGGGGCAUCCCCGUGACCGCCAGCGUGGCCGACCCCGGCGUGGUGGACACCGACCUCUACAGACACGUCUUCUGGGGCACCCGGCUCGUCAAGAAGCUCCUGGGCUGGUGGGUUUUCAAGACCCCAGAUGAGGGAGCCUGGACCUCCGUCUAUGCCGCAGUCACCCCAGCCCUGGAAGGUCUCGGUGGCCGCUAUCUCUACAACGAGAGGGAGACCCGGUCUCUGGAGGCCACGUACGACCCGGAGCUUCAGCGGCAGCUCUGGGCCAGAAGCUGCCAGUUGACAGGCAUCACCGACGUGACCCGGGAGACCUUCGGCGAGUAGCGGGCUGCCGGGAAGACUGUGGUCCGACCCAGGGAACAUCACGGUCUGUGCCGCCCUCACAGGUCUGUUUGUGCUGGACCACAUCUCUCCAUCACCCUCAUCCCCCCGACCCUCAAGGCUCUGUAUCCCCCCAGGGUCUCCCGUCGAG
rnacentral:lncRNA from 1 species